AGUUGGNGUGAAAUNUUUGUNACAACUGNGACGCAAACCUUUGUAUCCAGACCACGCNCGGCGUUGCGGGAAGAAGGCCUUCGGGUUGCAAACCGCNUUUUGAACAGGGUAAGAAAUCCUUUGANCUAAUACCUCGGGGGGAUGACGGUACCUGAAGAAUAAGCACCGGCUAACUACGUGCCACCAGCCGCGGUAAUACGUAGGGUGCAAGCGUUAAUCGGAAUUACUGGGCGUAAAGCGNUGCGCANGCGGUUAUGNUAAGACAGAGGUGAAAUCCCCGGGCUCAACCUGGGAACUGCCUUUGUGACUGCAUANCUUGAGUGCGGCAGAGGGGGAUGGAAUUCCGCGUGUAGCAGUGAAAAUGCGUAUAAUA
rnacentral:rRNA from 1 species